rnacentral:snRNA from 1 species
CAGCCUGCCCACCCUGGAAAC